rnacentral:rRNA from 1 species
CAGCAGCCGCGGUAAUACAGAGGGUGCAAGCGUUAAUCGGAAUUACUGGGCGUAAAGCGCGCGUAGGUGGUUUGUUAAGUUGGAUAUGAAAUCCCCGGGCUCAACCUGGGAACUGCAUCCAAAACUGGCAAGCUAGAGUAUGGUAGAGGGUGGUGGAAUUUCCUGUGUAGCGGUGAAAUGCGUAGAUAUAGGAAGGAACACCAGUGGCGAAGGCGACCACCUGGACUGAUACUGACACUGAGGUGCGAAAGCGUGGGGAGCAAACAGGAUUAGAUACCCCAGUAGUCCCUGUCUCUUAUAC